GCCUUCGUGGUGUAGUGGUCAGCACGCUCGACGCGUAACCGAGAAGUCGGUGGUUCGAUACCCGGCGAAAGCG
rfam:Stegodyphus mimosarum contig106997, whole genome shotgun sequence.